rnacentral:rRNA from 1 species
CGGAGGAAAAGAAACCAACAGGGAUUGCCUUAGUAGCGGCGAGUGAAGCGGCAAAAGCUCAAAUUUGAAAUCUGGCACUUUCAGUGUCCGAGUUGUAAUUUGAAGAAGGUAUCUUUGGGUCUGGCUCUUGUCUAUGUUUCUUGGAACAGAACGUCACAGAGGGUGAGAAUCCCGUGCGAUGAGAUGUCCCAGACCUAUGUAAAGUUCCUUCGAAGAGUCGAGUUGUUUGGGAAUGCAGCUCUAAGUGGGUGGUAAAUUCCAUCUAAAGCUAAAUAUUGGCGAGAGACCGAUAGCGAACAAGUACAGUGAUGGAAAGAUGAAAAGAACUUUGAAAAGAGAGUGAAAAAGUACGUGAAAUUGUUGAAAGGGAAGGGCUUGAGAUCAGACUUGGUAUUUUGUAUGUUACUCUCUCGGGGGUGGCCUCUACAGUUUACCGGGCCAGCAUCAGUUUGAGCGGUAGGAUAAGUGCAAAGAAAUGUGGCACUGCUUCGGUAGUGUGUUAUAGUCUUUGUCGAUACUGCCAGCUUAGACUGAGGACUGCGGCUUCGGCCUAGGAUGUUGGCAUAAUGAUCUUAAGUCGCCCGUCUUGAAA